GGUGUGGGCAGGGCAUGUCCCCUGUGGAGGUGAGGCCCUGCAGUCUUGUGUGGACAGGGCAUGUCUGCUGCAGAGAUGAGGCUCUGCAGUGUGGUAUGGAUAGGGUCAUUUCCUCGUGCGCAGGUGAGGCUCUGCAGUCUGGUGUGGGCAGAGCAUGUCCCCUGUGGAGAAGGUGCUGGGCCUGUGAGAACAUUAGAAACUGAGCGCAUGGCAUCCGUGUGCUCCUAAGGAGCUCGGUGGCCCCAACAUUCGCAGCUUGGCACCUUACACCCAACGUGGCAGCAUUAACAGAACCGGGAGGAAGCGUGUUGUGCGGCUGAGGAAGCACCCAGGCUACAGUGUUUGGUUAUAGCGGCCUCGGCACUGGAAGACGCGGAUGUCUGCGGGUGAGAACUGGCCUCGGAGACCUAGGGUGUCGCCUGGAGGACCCGGGCUGCCUUGCCAAGGCACUUCCUCGCCUGGGCUCAGAGGGCGAGAACCCGCCUGCUCCUCCCGCUCCCCAGGCGCGGCGUGGACACAGUCGGUGGAAAUCCCCGAAGACCCGCCCGUCCCCUGUCCCUGUACCCUGCCCUGCAGGGCGCUGGCGGUGGCCCCCCAGGAAGCAAGAGUGCGCGGGCGAGAAGCAGGGAUCCCAGCCCAGGGCGUCAGUCCCGGGACCGGUCCCCACAGCGACCCCGGGGCCAGGGAGGCCUUGACCACGCCGGUGAGUGCGAAAGGCGCGUGUUCUCCCGCCGGGCAGAGCGCGGGCACCCGAUGAGUUCUGCUUCCUGGAUGGUCUAGGAGUCCCUCCCUCUUUCCCUUUGCAGUGGCGAGAACUCUGCCUGUGCUUUGCAUCCAAAAGCAUGUGCCUUCGAUUAUUUUUUUCUAUUGAAUUAAUAAAGGAGCUGUGGUGACUGAUAAAGCGUUUAUUUUUAUAUUUUUCAUAUAAAACAGAUUGAAUAUAGCCGGGCGCGGUGGCUCAAGCCUGUAAUCCCAGCACUAUGGGGAGGCCGACGCGGGUGGUUCACGAGGUCAAGAGAUGGAGACCAUCCUGGUCAACAUGGUGAAACCCCAUCUCUACUACAAAUACAAAAAAAUAACUGGGCAUGGUGGCAACUGCCUGUAAUUCCAGCUACUCAGGAGGCUGAGGCAGGAGAAUUGCCUGAACCCAGGAGGCGGAGGUUGCAGUGAGCCGAGAUCGCGCCAUUGCACUCCAGCCUGGGUAACAAGAGCGAAACUCCGUCUCAAAAGAAAAGAAGAAGAAAAAAAAAAAAACAACAACAUUGAAUAUAACAUUUGCUGGCCCGCCUAUUCUUCCUUGUGGCAAUUUUAGUCUUUUUAAAAAGUGAUUAAUGGCAAUGCAUUUCAAAGUGAAAUAUGACGCGGUGUCUGGGGAACAUUGGAGGAGCACAUUCUGCUUGCUUUUGAUGAACCCUUCUUACUUUUCCUGUUGUUGCUGGAACACAAAAUACUGAGUUGUUCUGUUUAGGAAUGUCAUAGCUCAUGCCUUUUUUGGCAACUUCUCAACAUUGGAAAGAAAAUCGAUUUUUUUUAUGAUUUGUUCUUGAGCAUGUAGUAAUGUGCAUUAAACUCUAAAGACUAGGAAACUGAUUUUUCUUUGAAGUCAUAAUUCCCCUAGUGCUUAAAACAAAAGUAUUGUUUGAUGAAUGACUUAGAGAAAACCAUUUGAUCUGCAUUAUUCCUGGAUAGCUUAGUUGUCCUGUGACCUACGAGAAUGAGUUGAGCAGGGCGCGGUGGCUCACUCCUGUAAUCCCAGCACUUUGGGAGGCCGACGCGGGUGGAUCACGAGGUCAAGAGAUCGAGACCAUCCUGGUCAACAUGGUGAA